rnacentral:rRNA from 1 species
GACGAACGCUGGCGGCGUGCUUAACACAUGCAAGUCGAACGGAAAGGCCCUGCUUUUGUGGGGUGCUCGAGUGGCGAACGGGUGAGUAACACGUGAGUAACCUGCCCUUGCCUUUGGGAUAACUUCAGGAAACUGGGGCUAAUACCGGAUAGGAGCUCCUGCUGCAUGGUGGGGGUUGGAAAGUUUCGGCGGUUGGGGAUGGACUCGCGGCUUAUCAGCUUGUUGGUGGGGUAGUGGCUUACCAAGGCUUUGACGGGUAGCCGGCCUGAGAGGGUGACCGGCCACAUUGGGACUGAGAUACGGCCCAGACUCCUACGGGAGGCAGCAGUGGGGAAUAUUGCACAAUGGGCGGAAGCCUGAUGCAGCAACGCCGCGUGCGGGAUGACGGCCGUCGGGUUGUAAACCGCUUUCGCCUGUGACGAAGCGUGAGUGACGGUAAUGGGUAAAGAAGCACCGGCUAACUACGUG